GCCAGAUCACAUUGAAACACCAGUUCCCAUAUAAUCACUGAAGUUAAGCAACUUCAAGCUUGGUCAGUACCUAGAUGGGUGACCACUUGAGAAUAUCAAGUGCUGUA